rnacentral:rRNA from 1 species
UGUGAUUGCAGAAUUCCGCGAAUCAUCGAGUCUUUGAACGCAAGUUGCGCCCGAGGCUUGUCCAAGGGCAUUUCCGCUAGAGCGUCACC